UGUCAGCCUGUGCAUGAAGCAAACCUACAGUUCCUUUGCAAGAGAUGUAUCAGAGGAGACAAGAAUUUCCUUACCACAGCAGACUCCUGGCCACCUCUAUUCCUGCCAUCGGGCAGCAGCUAAUCCAUCACAGGAAAUUAUAAGGAAUGCUGUCAUAGGCAAAUGCAAUCAAAAGAAGGCUUUUUUUGGUCCCCCUCAGAGGAAAUCAGCCUCUAACCCAAUGCUAGGGGGUGAAAUAUGCCUGGAAGAGUGCUGAUGCACAUCUCUGCAGCAGAAGAAAUGGAUCCCUAUUCAGGCGCCCAGCCAGGUGCAGGAUAACAGAGUGAAGCUUCCUUCAGAGCAAAGAAGUGCGCAGAAAAGGAAAACAGCAAAACUCCAGGGAACAAGGAAACUAAACCAAACCAGAGAGAGGCAGGAAAACUACUGAAGGAAUGGAGAUUUGCAACAAGGGCCAGAAGGGAUAGAUAAAUGCAGACAACAGCUACAGAUAUAGUGAAUCAUGCCAGCCCCAUGGAAAUUGAUAUCCAGUGACAGUGACCAAACAAUGCUAAUACAGGGACCUCCCCGUGCCCUAUCUACCCCAAGAGAUCCUUGUAGCUAUUUUUUCUUUGGAGAAGAGAUAGAUCUCUAAAGAAGGGGAGGGAAAAAAAUCCCAUUUAGAGAUUGCAGCCUGCAGACACAUCUGUGAGUCUCACCUCCUGCAGUUCAUUCUUGCAGCUCCUUAGGGAGGGCAGCUGAAUGACCACCACCACCACCACCAAGAACAGCCAGGCAAGUUUCUCCAGGUCUUCCCCAGCUGUGUGGAGGGCUGAGGUUAAUUGGAAUAUCUUACUGAGAGAAAUUAAACCCUUAGCUGUGAGAAGAAAGAAAAAAACAACCCAGCAGUCCCUUAUAUGACUCAUUCUCCUGCUGAGAAAUGCAACUGGCCAAAUGCAGAUAAGACACUCACUUCUCAGGCACUGCUCAGCUCUCAGUUCAGUUCCUUCUCUCUGGUGGUCUGUGUGCUUGCCUCUGCCUCAACUCUUUACUCUGACCUAAGCCUUUUUCCUUUAACCUCCUUGUCAUCAUCUUUUUCUUGACAUCUCACCUCAGAUCUCUCCAGAUUUAUCAGGUGAGAUAUAUGUGGGUUGUUCUGUUAUUUCUGAAGGGAGGAAAAGAUGCAGUGGGGGGAGGAGGCUUGUGUCAGGAUCCUCCUGGCAAUGUGGUUGCCUUGGGAGGGAUUUUGUGGUUUUGUGUGACUUUUUAUGUUGUAUGUAACUGUAAAUAUCUCUCUGUGUGUGUAUAAGUGCUUGCAAGUUGUGCUAAUCUAUAAAUAUAGCUUCAUUCCUUAACUUCCAGCCUGCUGAGCCUAGUCUGGAGGAUUUCAUUGCAUGUGGGGGUGGGUCCCACCAGUUCAUGGACAUAAAUGACUUCAGCCAGCUGGGCUGCUUGGCACAACCCUGUGUGCUAGUUUGAAGCUGGCUAGAAUGUUUUGGUGAGAAGAACUAGAUUACAGGCUGUGAAAGGAAAACAAAGGUGAUGUCUGCUUCACUCAUAGGCUUGCUGAGAGGUAUAAGAACAAGAAUGCAAACAUAGAUAAGGCACUUCUGCUGGGGAGCUCCGAGCUCAUUUCUUUCUCUAGCCUCUCUGCUGUCUUUCUGAUUAAUCCACUUUGCUUCCUAACCCCCUGGCCAAACCUCCAUUCUUCCUUGGGACUGGGAUAAGAUUGAGAGGGGUGGGAGAAGGUGGAAGGGUGGUUGGGAGCCCCUCCUGGGGACUCAGGUUUCUGGGAGGGCUGUUGUGUUUCUGUAUCACCUCUUACCUUGUAUAUUUCUGUAUAUACUGUAAAUAUCUGCUUGUAUAUUGAGCUAAGCUGUAAAUAAAAGCUUCAUUCAAGUUGCCAGA